rnacentral:tRNA from 1 species
GCUGGCGUAGCUCAGUCGGUAGAGCACUUCACUCGUAAUGAAGGGGUCGGAGGUUCGAUUCCUCUUUCCGGCACCA